rnacentral:rRNA from 1 species
UACGUAGGGACCAAGCGUUGUCCGGAAUCAUUGGGCGUAAAGAGCGUGUAGGCGGCUUGUUAAGUCUUGCGUGAAAUCUCGGGGCUCAACCCCGAGCGGUCGUGAGAAACUGGCAGGCUAGAGUGCGGGAGAGGAGAGUGGAAUUCCUGGUGUAGCGGUGAAAUGCGCAGAUAUCAGGAAGAACACCCGUGGCGAAGGCGGCUCUCUGGGCAUUACCUGACGCUGAGGAGCGAAAGCGUGGGGAGCGAACAGG